rnacentral:lncRNA from 1 species
UCCGGUUUUACUCUACAUUUAAAUUGUACUAGAUAUUUUAAAGAACAAUAAACAUCAGUAAAUAAUUUCCAUUGCAAAGUCAUAUAACAGCUUGUUUUCCAUUGCAAAGUUAGUUUCAAUAUACCUUGAAGAACAAGUGUGUUUUGAAUGAUCUUUUGAAAGCAUACAAGCAUUUAGCGUCCCUAAUGGUAGCCGGAAGCAUUCCAUAACUUCGGCGCAGCUGUUGAAAAACUACGAUAAUCGUACCUCACAGUUUUGCUUUUUGGAAAACUAGUUUUUCCUGGAUCUCAAAUUGCUGGCUGAUAGAGUUCUAGUAAGUUUUUAACAUAGAUCGGUGACUUGUUCAUGCAAUGCUUUGCAUGUGUGAACUAGAAUUUAUAAACUCCACUCUGUGAGCCACUGGUAUCUAAUGUAGUAUUUUUUAGUACCGAUGUAAUGCUGUCAUAACGCGAUAUUCUCGUUAUGAUUCGAGCUGCAGUGUUCUGAAGAUUUAAAUUGACCAAGUUGCAGUGUAAAAUUUGUAUUGUUAUAAUUUUAAUUUGGUUUAUGAUAGAAGUUUGGUUUAAAUGGAGGGAACAUCCAGCGGAUCACUCUCACAGACAUGUUGGAAGGCAAGUUUGAAACGAUAGGACAAACGGAAAAGAUAUCAACUUAUUGAUGGAUAUCUAAUUGCCCUAGUUUACAAUAAGGACAUUAUAUAUUGAACCAGCAAAGUUUAAGGAAAAGAACUCAUAACUGAGGUUGACGAAUGCAAAUAAACAAUUUAAAAAUGCAUGCAGAACACUUGGAAGCGACUUUUUACAUGUCGAUUUAUUUCAGCUAUACUCCCAUUCAUUGAUUUUUCUUUAUACAAUAUGAAAUGUGCUAUUAGUUAAAUAUAUUUAAAGAAUCUCAAUUUGUAUUACUAGAUAUUUUGUUGCAUCUCAAUAAAAAUAGAUUUUUGCGGAUAUGAACAUUUAUUUUUAAACGUAUGGAAACUUCAAUAAUCUAUAGCUCAAGGAAGUGUUUCAAAGACAAUACCAAUGUACAUUGUAAAAUUCUAAGAUGUGCAAUAAUAGUUUGCUACAUAUUGUUUCAAUCAAUGAGUCCCGCAUUAUAUUAUUUUAACUGGUUUUACUUAGUACUAGUAUUUCAUUUUAUUUAAUCUAUUUAUUUGCAGAAGAAACAUUAAAAAUACCGUACAUAAGAUUACAUUCAUAUCGCUAAUCGUUGGUAUUUUAGUUUCCAGUACUCUUCAUAAGUUUCAAUAUUGUAGUCCACUUAAUGGUACUUAUAGUAUAUGCAUGUACUUGCAUAAUCAUGAACCAUUAAAUCUCCAGAUGUAUAUCAUAUCCUUGACGUGCAAUGCUUAAAACUUCCUAAGGAAAUUUAGCAUUGUGAAGUAAUUGGAAACUGCAAGCAGAUAUUAUGUAACUUCAAUGGGAAAUUUCUACCUAAAUAGUUAUUAUUAUUUUAAAUAUUUUCCAGGCCAUUUUUUAUUGAGUAAUGUAUCUGACCACAUGGCUUUUAUGAUAAGUAGUUUACAGUAACCUUUCAUGCUAAUCUAAAUUAAUUAAUCUAGCUUAAUUAGCUUAUAUAAACAAUUAUAAAGAUGGUCAUUACAUGGGUCACUCCACAGGAAAAACACUUACAGGUCGUAGAGACUAAAGUAGUGCCUAAUACUACUCUGCAAAAAAUCAUGUGCAUAGUUUUCAACCUAUUACAAUUGGAAGACCCGCUGCUAAUGUUGUGAGAAAUUGUGGGUCAACAUUUUGUCUAAUUUAUUCGUAAACGACGUAGUUGUCUGUUUAUAUAUGUAUACUGGAAAUACAAUAUGUUUAAACUAAUCUGUUACAAUGUACAAUAUUGCUAAAUGGUAUCAUAUGUCCAAAAUCUCUUGACGAAAAUAAGAUUGCCCACGCUUCUUUUUAUCCUUAAAAUGACACUACUUCCAACAAAGGGGACAAACACCAAGUUGCAUUUAUUUUAGGGUUACCUUACUGUAACUGUCCUGACUUUAUGAAGUUAUGAAGAGAUAAUGUGUCCAAUUUUCACUGAAAAUAUUAGGGUUUUUUUUUUACACCGUUUGGUACAUAGUAUUUCUUAAAUCAGCUUUCAUAAAUAUAUGACUCCUACUGACAUUUACCGCACAAUAAGUAAAAUAUUUUAUAUAACAAUUACAAAGCUUAAAGUUCCAUUAGGCAUUAAUGUUUAGGCGAAAAUUUGAAAGAGGCUGUCUGAAUCUGUUAUCAGGAAUGUCAUUUCCUCGAUGAAGGUUUAGAACUAACCUGGUAUCCAUUUUCUUUAUGCCAAGUUCGAUGUGUUUUACCGCGGCGUCAAAUAAGGUAAGAGAACUGGCAAGUUAGAAACAUCAGUUUAACUAUUUGCGUUAGUAUUUAACUUAUAUACCCAUGAUUUCACUAAGCUGCCAAGAAACCAGUGAUUUGUUAUUUAUUUAUUUAUUUAUUUGGGUUUUACGGCGCACCAACACAGUAUAGGUUAUAUGGCGCCAAACAGGACUGCACAUUUUGGUUUCACAUCUCAUUUACAUCGAAAUAAAAACAUGAGGUAUCGAAUCAAAAUUUGCAUACCUGCUGGAAUCACAGAGUUACAGCAAGACCUAGUGUUAAGACCCUACUAGUCGCCUCUUACGAUCAUGCAAGGGUAAGGCAGUGGUUCCAAUUCUUUUCAUACACAGAUCGUCCCAGAACCACAUGGGGCAUCCGUAAUUUGACUGUGAACAUUUAAGAUGCCUGUUAAGUUUCAAAUCCGUUCGGAAUGGAAUUAAAGUAAUUGAGUCUAGUUCAAAAUACAACGAAUGCACUCGCUCUAACAGCAUUUUAAGAUUUGAUUUCUUGUUAUUGUUUUCUUUUCAUUCAUGUUCUGAAGGAAGCAUACAAAGGAAAGUCACAUUAUUAUCACCUGACAUUUCAGAAUAUCUUUUAUUGACAACAGCUUGAUUCGUAAUCCGUCUCUACAUUAGGUUAAAAGACUAUUACGUUUACAAUACAUUUUCUUAUAAAAGUUGCAUAAAAUUAGUGUACGAAAAUUAAGUACAUAAUAUCAUUUAUUAGGAGUUAUUUAAAAUUUUAAAUGCUAGAUUCGUGACACAAUGUUUCAAAAUGCUGCGGCCUGGUGUUAUCCAGAUACGUCUAAUUAAACUGAAUGGAUAUUUUAUCUAAAUUAAAUUUUGAAGAACAUGUGGAUAAUAAAUAUAGCGAUUACCGGAUAUUUCCGACAGUAUUUUACAAAUAUACAGUAUCAAUUAUAAUUUGUUCACAUACAACGGAAGAUAUUUAUAAACCGCAAUAUUGAGGGGGCUUUAAUAUAUACGAUAUUUCCUAUACAAUAGUUCCUGGUUUGGUAUGUCUGACUAUAUUUGAUGUUAUUUUUAGACUGAGAAAAUGCCCUGGACCGGCAUAUUAUAAAUAUCAGAAUCAUGGAAUCUGUUUAAUCAAAAAGAAGCUACGCUUUUGCACGAUAAGACGAACAGAAAAAUAUACUAAGGCCGUGUGGAAAAAUAAGAGUUUAUUUUCUUUAAAUAAAACAAAGGAAGAAUAUUCACAAACUAUGCGUUGUAAUUAUAUUAAGGAAAACCUAGCUGUGGUCGUCUGCUUCGUGCUAUUUCAAUGCGCGAGGAGCGUUCCGAUCCAAAAACAUGCGACGAGACACAAACGGUCAGCAGAAACUGUUGAGUUCUUCAUGAAUAAUCAGCUUACACAUGAGUAUGAUCCGCGAACAGGACUUGCAUUCAUCAGUGAACAACACUUUAAUAACGACCUUACGUGUCCGGAACAUGUUUCUACGGGAAUGAACGACCCUGUUAUAUAAAAGGUCAACUUGUCCCUGGUACUACAGCGAAUCACGUGACUCAAAGCGAUAUCCAGCCGUCAUCUUCCAAGCAGAGCGACUUUGUGACCUACGCCAUUGACUCAAACAAAAUGCAUGAGUGUGUGCCAAUAACGGAGAGUUUGACAGUAUUAAGAGAACAAAACUACCAUGACGGGAAUGGAAACUCCGUAUGGGUUGGAAGAAACCAUAACAAACGUUGUAGGAUAUACAGCUGCCAGGUAGACGAAUCGCUGAAAAUUCACCACAGGCUACCACAGCAGCACCAGACAACCAACCUACACCGGAAUGGGAAAGAAGAUAAAUGGUUCUUCCCGAUAGAAUCAAAUAUACUGUAACUGCCAGUAAGGCUUCUUAGUCCAAGUUAUGGACAUGAUUGUUAGACCAUAAUGGUCAUUUUUAGCAAUUAUAACUUACAUCUGGUUUUAAUAAUUAAUUUAUCUGUACAGUUAUGAACGUUAGUGAAAAUUGAGGAUACAUUGUUAUGAUAAAAAUAUGUUAGGUAUUAUUUUAUGGAAUGCGCUGGGUUCAGUGAAGGAACACGUUUCACAGAACUCACAAUGCAUUUAUUUUUAAUUUUCAAUGUUCACGCAUACAUUUCUAUAUCUAUUUCUUUUUUGGAAGCGGCUUUUUACACCGAUUUUAUAUUAGCUACACGGAGUGGAGUUUUUGUAUGGUUGAUCUUUAUCUUUUUACAACUGACAAUCAGAGAUGUGAUUUAGUUGUGUUUAUUAUUUAAAACAUAAUCUCACUGUGAUGGACUACUGGGGUAUUUUCUUUAGGAUGUACCAGGGUUUAUUUUACACACACAAAACAUAUAUGUACAUUGCUCAAAGAAGUGUUAUAACAUGAAAAAUAUGUGGACGUUUUUCACAAGUAUAUAUCAAUUUAAUUGAAUUGUCUUCAUUGUAUAUAAGUUUAGUUAUGAACAUUUAGGAAAGUGUAAUGGGACAUGAAUGGAUAUUUAUUUGUGUAACUGAUCAAUAAAUUAUGAGUUUUGUAGAAAAUAUUGUGAAAAUUAGCUUGUUAAAAAGACAUAUUAAUUUGUUUUAUCAUAAGUAUGUGAUUUUUAUUUAUAUAUUUAUUUCGUACAUUUUCCUGCAAUAUGACUUUUUUUAUACGUGAACUCUCAAAUGUGCAAUAAUUGUUUUUACAUGAAUAUCAUGCAAUCAUUUGACUGCAUUGUUUUUAGUUUAGUUGUUGUGUUUAUAAUUUUAUUUUUAAAUUAUUUAUUUAUUUUGUUAAGUUUGCAAUAAAAAGUAAGAAAG